GAGGAGGACGAGGAGGAGGAGACGGCGGCCGAGGCGGCGGCGAGAGUGCGGUCGGGCGAGCCCGGGGCCGGCGUCUGCGGGCGGCCCGGGCUGUGCAGCGUUGGUGGUAUAGUGCACUUGCUCUGCUUGAUGAACACAGAAUUCCGGACGGACCCACUAUGCAGCGGGAGUUCAGAAACCUAAGAUGAGCAGUACAAGGCUCUUGCCAGAUUAGAACUCCUGGAGCCAACAGAGUGCCAUUCUUGUCCCCUAGACACAUGUAUCAUCCAACAACAGACUCCGAGGGCCAACGGCUGGGCAGCGCUCGAAUCAACCGAGACGCCCAAGGAUCACCGGGCAGACCUCGGGCAGACCUGGAACCCGCGCCCCUGACAGCGCGUCUCUGGGGUACGAACCCUGAACAAAGGCCAACUUUGUCGGCUUAACGGUACCACCCGAGAAUCCUAACUCAAGGCCGCAAGCCUGAGGCCUGGAGAACGGGCGCGCCACGGCCUCCCGGAAGUCUGAGAAGGCGGGUAGGCCCCGCCCCGGACGGCCCCGCCCCCUGCCGCCGUCGCGCC